GUAGCUGUUUUAUGAGUAUAAGGCAAGUGGUUUUGUAGCUGUUUUAUGAGUAUAAGGCAAGUGGUUUUGUAGCUGUUUUAUGAGUAUAAGGCAAUGGUUUUUGUAGCAUGUUUUAUGAGUAUAAGGCAAGUGGUUUUGUAGCUAUUUUAUGAGUAUAAGGCAAGUGGUUUUGUAGCUGUUUUAUGAGUAUAAGGCAAGUCAAAAUGGUUUUGUAGCUGUUAAAAUCUGAAAGGCUAAUGCUCACUAUAAUACAUAUAAUUUACAAAAAAGCUGCACUUUUGAGAGAAAACUAUACAUUUUCUUCCAUCCCAGACCAUUAUUUAGUCAAAACUGGAUGGUUUUAUCAUCACUGGAUAUAACUUCAACUUUUUUUUUUUUCUUUCUUUUGCAUCUUGGUUUCCAUACUUUUGUGACUUGCUAAUAGUUGUCCAGAAAGCAGUGAAAUGCUUGAUAAUUUCCUCUGGACAGUGUGGAAGUUUUGUGAAUUGCUUCAGCCACAGCUGUUUUCAGGAUCAGCAACUUAUGUUGAGUAGAUAGACUAUGAAACUAAUGAAGCUGAAGCUUCAGGACCCCUGAUCCCAGAGGGGCCCCAGAAGUGACUUUAAUCCACAUUGCUUAAAAUUUUUGGGUCUACUGUAUGAGAGUUUUUAAAAAUAACAGUGUAAUUAAACACAAAAUGAUAGUUUUGCUGGUUGUGAAGGAUCCCCAUAAGUUUCAGGGCCCCAAAAAUGCAGGUCCACUACUGGCUUAUAAAUGAUGAAUAUAUUACACAGUUUCCACACUUCUCAUCCCACCUACUGCACACAUUUAAUUUUUUAUAAAAAAUUAGAUUUUUGGAAAAUGGCGCCUUGAGUGGUAGGUGACCAAAUAUUUUUAAUAUUCUUAAGAAAAGUAAUCCAUAUUUAUUUUCCACGGAGGUAUUGCGUGUUAGAUAGGAGUGAAUGUAGAUGAAUAGUUUUUGGGAUUUGAUUAACAGUUGGAGUGUGAACAGGGUAAUAUUUUGUGAAGGGAUUCAGAGAAACUGGUUAGCCAGACUUGAGUCCUGGAGGUGGGGAAGCACAAUGCCUGCACUUUAAAGAGGGGUUUGGGAUAUUUGCAGUUUAGUGACAUCUGAACUGUCAAUGUGAGUGCCUCUGCAGGAUAGGGAUUGUGUGAAUGAUGAAAGUUUCUCUUGCUUUGGGUUGCACUGCCUUGAUGGCAGACUGCCAACUAAGUGUGUAUUCUCUUGACUUUUGUUCAUACCUCAGUUUUGGCUGCAGAAGAAAGUUUGUGGUUGUACACAGUUUGGAUUAAAAGUAAUACUGUAUAAAACAGAUUGCAUUUAAUGUUUAUUAAUCUCUGUUAAUGUUUAAAUUAGUGUUCCACCAUAGUUCAAAUUUUUUAUACAUUACUGUAUUACUAUCAAUCAGCAUUUUAUCCUUUUGUUGUGUAUUUGCCUUGUGAAUUACCCUAAUUGCUUUUAUUUUGCUUCUUCACAGAAAAGUGCAGAUGAAUACUUGGAGAAAAAUCCUGAUUUUGUAUUUCCCAUCAUUCAGGGUCCUAACAAAAGUGAUAUACAGCUCUUCCUUGAAUACCGGAGAAUGCCAGUGACUCCUCCCAUCAGACCUAGCAUGAUGUAUUAUCAUGAACUCCAGAAGGCUGGAGAGUUGGACCAGUUUUCAGGUUUCGAGAAGGUCACGGUGGCUUUGGAGAGGUACCAAAACCUGCCCUCUUCAAGAAAACUACAUUACAAAUCUUUACUUGAUAAG